rnacentral:rRNA from 1 species
CAGCCGCCACGGUAAUACGAAGGGGGCUAGCGUUGUUCGGAAUUACUGGGCGUAAAGCGCACGUAGGCGGAUAUUUAAGUCAGGGGUGAAAUCCCAGAGCUCAACUCUGGAACUGCCUUUGAUACUGGGUAUCUUGAGUAUGAAAGAGGUGAGUGGAAUUCCGAGUGUAGAGGUGAAAUUCGUAGAUAUUCGGAGGAACACCAGUGGCGAAGGCGGCUCGCUGGUCCAUUACUGACGCUGAGGUGCGAAAGCGUGGGGAGCAAACAGGAUUAGAUACCCCAGUAGUCCCUGUCUCUUAUAC